UACGAAGGGGGCUAGCGUUGCUCGGAAUUACUGGGCGUAAAGCGCACGUCGGCGGCGAUUCAAGUUAGAUGUGAAAGGCCUGGGCUCAACCCGGGAACUGCAUUUGAUACUGAAUUGCUAGAGUCCAAGAGAGGGUAGUGGAAUUCCCAGUGUAGAGGUGAAAUUCGUAGAUAUUGGGAAGAACACCAGUGGCGAAGGCGGCUACCUGGCUUGGUACUGACGCUCAGGUGCGAAAGCGUGGGGAGCGAACAGG
rnacentral:rRNA from 1 species